rnacentral:tRNA from 1 species
UAGGGUAUAGCUUAGUGGUAGAGCACAUGCUUAGCAGGCACAAGAUCCUGAGUUCAAUCCCCAGUACCUUCA